AAAAUGCUCCUCAAGGUGUCUAGAUUAUGCACACAAAAUUUCAUCUCCAUCCAAUUAAGCAUCAUCAUUUCAUGAUCAAAAUGGUAAACAAGGUGCAACAAAUGACAUGUGAAAACAAACCCUAGCCAAAACAGAAAUCCACAUGUGCACAAUUUCCACCAAAAUCAUCAAAAAAUAGUAGACAUGGCAAGGAUCAUCAUGGAAAAAAUCUCAUAUUAAUUGGACAAAUAUUGAAUGAGUUAUGAUUUUUCUAUUGAGAAGAAAAAAUAA
rnacentral:lncRNA from 1 species